GUAACUUCUGCAAAGAAACCCAAGAAUAUGACAUUGAUAGUUGAUCUUGAGUUCUUGACUUUGAGCACAAUGUGAGACCUGCUCCUGUAAUCACUGAGGUUAAAACUUCAAUUGAGGAUAUGAUCAAGAAAAUGAUUCUUGAGGUAAAUUAAGAUGCUGAAUUGACAUGCUUGGAUUCUGCUAUAAUGCAUUGUACAAUGUUAGUUUGGUAGAAGUUGGAUUUAUAUUAUGUAAAAUGUAAAAUUGUAUUGCUGGUAUAAGUUCUUGAAACUGAACUGGGUAGGGAACAAGAAUUAUAGCCACAUGGUUUUAUGAGAGAACCAGACUUCUCCCUAGAGUUCCCCUGCUCUCACUUAUUUCACUGAUUUGUUUCAUUUGUCCUUUUAUAUGUCUGCACACAUGAAUUCCAUUCGAAGGUAUAUAAUGAGUUGCAGACAUGUCAAUGAACUGUAUGGUGUAUGUGCCUAAUUGGUUGUUUUUCUUUGUUUUUCAGUAGCAACUCCUAAACAUAUUAGUGAACUGAUGCAUGUGGAAGCCAUGGCAAUUGACGAAUUCAAAAGCCACUUGCAAGUGAGUGUGUUUGUAUUUCAAUAGGUUCCUAACAAGCCUGGAAGGGUUUCAGCUUUUUAGAUGAGUUUGAACUACCAUUUUCUUUGAUUCUCAAUAGCUAACAUUGAUUCUUCAGUAUUGUUUUCUCAUUAAGUUGUCAUCUAUUGCUUUUUAGAUGAGUAAAAAGAAAAACUUAUACUCUUCUUCUGACUGGACUUUGAAUCCUCUGAAUUGUUUGGGUGUAGGUGUGAACUGGACUUAACUAAUAGGCGUUUAUGCUGUCUUUUUUCCUCUGGCUUUUUACAGUCGGUGUUGGUUUGAUGGCUUGGUUGCAAACAGAGAUGGUGUUGAUUGUAGUGUGAGCUGUGAACAGAGGGCUGUUUGUGUCCUUCUAUUCACCUUUUUUUGGCUGGUUGCUGUGCAAAUUUGGCUUUCUUUCUGCUGCAGUGGGUGGUUUUUUACCUCUCUGUUUCGGUUCUCUUUUCUUUUUGCUUUUGAUCUUUGUACUGUGGGUUGUAACACCCCCUAAGUGUUACUUAUUCUUUUAUUCAUUUUGGC
rnacentral:lncRNA from 1 species